UCUUCUCUUUCUGAAAGUAAUGUCCCUUGGGACCUUGUCCCUAGUUCGGACGGUUUUUUCCAUCAUCCAGAGGAUCGCUGGUGAUUUUCAAGCAGAAGAACACCUCAGGCAUCUGAAGGGGACACUGUGCGGUUGCAGCGGUCUGGUUCCUGGGACGUUAAAGCAAGAGUACAGGACCAGUUGGUGCCAAGGUCCUACCGGGUUCUCACCGAAGACGGGAGAGAGGUACGACGGAAUCGCCAGCACCUUCUUCGGACUCCGGAUGUAUUCACCCUUCCUACGGUAGCUCCGGACUACAGCACCGCAAACAAGACCACGGAAGCAGCAACACCUCAAGCCGAGCCAGGUCCCACAUCAAAAGGUCCAGCCGAGGACAACAGCCAGGUACCACCAGUGAUGGAGCCUCAACUGAGAAGAUCAUCGAGGCAGCGAAGGCCGCCAGAUCGACUAAUGUAUAGUUAAAGCGUGCCGCUUUUUUUUUUUCUCCUUGUAGAGAGUAAUGCUUUAUUGUUGAUUAUGUAAUUUGAGUAGUUGCAUUUUGAUACUGUUUGACUCGUGACUGUUCUUAAUACUGUUGUUGAUACUGUUUAAAUGUUGCUGUGAAAAAAAAAAAAAGAGAUGUAUCGGGUUCGCCUGAUAACCUUGGUAGGCAGCCCCGCCCAUUUGUGCUUAAAAGAGCCGAAUAAAGACAAGAGCAGUUCUCUUUCUAGUGCUGA